GUUGAUCCUGCCGGAGGUUACUGCUAUCGAGGUUCGACUAAGCCAUGCGAGUCGAAUGUAGCAAUACAUGGCGUACUGCUCAGUAACACGUGGAUAACCUACCCUUGAGACGGGGAUAAACCCGGGAAACUGGGUAUAAUACCCGAUAAAUCUCGACUGCUGGAAUGCAUCGAGCUUGAAAGCUCCGGCGCUCAAGGAUGGGUCUGCGGCCUAUCAGGUAGUAGUGGGUGUAGCGUACCUACUAGCCUACGACGGGUACGGGUUGUGAGAGCAAGAGCCCGGAGAUGGAUUCUGAGACACGAAUCCAGGCCCUACGGGGUGCAGCAGGCGCGAAAACUUUACAAUGCUGGAAACAGCGAUAAGGGGUCCUCGAGUGCCAGGUUACAAAUCUGGCUGUCGUGAUGCCUAAAAAGCAUUGCAUAGCAAGGGCCGGGCAAGACCGGUGCCAGCCGCCGCGGUAACACCGGCGGCUCGAGUGGUAACCGUUAUUAUUGGGUCUAAAGGGUCUGUAGCCGGCCGGAUAAGUCUCUUGGGAAAUCUGGCAGCUUAACUGUCAGGCUUUCAGGAGAUACUGUCUGGCUCGAGGCCGGGAGAGGUGAGAGGUACUUCAGGGGUAGGGGUGAAAUCUUGUAAUCCUUGAAGGAUCACCAGUGGCGAAGGCGUCUCACCAGAACGGACCUGACGGCAAGGGACGAAAGCUAGGGGCACGAACCGGAUUAGAUACCCGGGUAGUCCUAGCCGUAAACGAUACUCGCUAGGUGUCGGCAACGGUGCGACCGUUGUCGGUGCCGUAGGGAAGCCGUGAAGCGAGCCACCUGGGAAGUACGGCCGCAAGGCUGAAACUUAAAGGAAUUGGCGGGGGAGCACCACAACGG
rnacentral:rRNA from 1 species